rnacentral:rRNA from 1 species
GACAGAGGGGGCAAGCGUUGCUCGGAAUUACUGGGCGUAAAGGGCGCGUAGGCGGGAUGGCAAGUCGGUCGUGAAAUCCUUCGGCUCAACCGAAGAACGUCGAUCGAUACUGCUGUUCUUGAGGGUUGCAGAGGAGACUGGAAUUCCCGGUGUAGCGGUGAAAUGUGUAGAGAUCGGGGAGGAACGACCGGUGGCGAAGGGCGGG